AAACAAUAGGAACUCACUCCAAAACUUUCAACCAUCCAAAGGAGAGAGAAGGAGUAAGAAAAGGGGGAGAGUUGCAAACAAUUACAGGGUCAAGUCCCACAAUCCAACAACACAUUUUCCCACGUAAUGAAGGAAGAACAUACAGGAAGAUAACUUUGAGAAACAGAGAAUUACGAAAAUCCUAGGAAGCAAAAACAAGGUUGAGCAGCGAAGUGGUGGAUGAAGUGCUAUUGAGACAAUACAUUUAAUUCAGUCAGAUUAGGACUCUCGGAGGUUCAUGUCUCCAUACAUGGAACCGCGUUCAUUUGCUUCCGUUGUGCAUCUUAAAAGACUCAAGUCUAUUUUGUUCAAAACUCUGGUGUAUUGAAAUUUUUACAAACGAUUACUCGAGUUUCAUGAUCGAGUAUCUUUCCUUCUAUGUAUCAGCACUUGAUUAGUCA